rnacentral:rRNA from 1 species
AGCGAACGCUGGCGGCAGGCCUAACACAUGCAAGUCGAACGAACUCUUCGGAGUUAGUGGCGGACGGGUGAGUAACACGUGGGAACGUGCCUUUUGGUUCGGAAUAACUCAGGGAAACUUGUGCUAAUACCGAAUGUGCCCUUCGGGGGAAAGAUUUAUCGCCAUUAGAGCGGCCCGCGUCUGAUUAGCUAGUUGGUGAGGUAACGGCUCACCAAGGCGACGAUCAGUAGCUGGUCUGAGAGGAUGACCAGCCACACUGGGACUGAGACACGGCCCAGACUCCUACGGGAGGCAGCAGUGGGGAAUCUUGCGCAAUGGGCGAAAGCCUGACGCAGCCAUGCCGCGUGAAUGAUGAAGGUCUUAGGAUUGUAAAAUUCUUUCACCGGGGACGAUAAUGACGGUACCCGGAGAAGAAGCCCCGGCUAACUUC